rnacentral:tRNA from 1 species
UCCCUCAUAGCUCAGUCAGUAAAGUGUCUGCCUGUAAUGCAGGAAAGUCAGGUUUCGAUUCCUGGUUUGGGAA